rnacentral:rRNA from 1 species
AGUGAACGCUGGCGGUAGGCCUAACACAUGCAAGUCGAACGGCAGCACAGUAAGAGCUUGCUCUUACGGGUGACGAGUGGCGGACGGGUGAGGAAUACAUCGGAAUCUACUUUUUCGUGGGGGAUAACGUAGGGAAACUUACGCUAAUACCGCAUACGACCUAAUGGUGAAAGCAGGGGAUCUUCGGACCUUGCGCGAUUGAAGGAGCCGAUGUCGGAUUAGCUAGUUGGCGGGGUAAAGGCCCACCAAGGCGACGAUCCGUAGCUGGUCUGAGAGGAUGAUCAGCCACACUGGAACUGAGACACGGUCCAGACUCCUACGGGAGGCAGCAGUGGGGAAUAUUGGACAAUGGGCGCAAGCCUGAUCCAGCCAUACCGCGUGGGUGAAGAAGGCCUUCGGGUUGUAAAGCCCUUUUGUUGGGAAAGAAAAGCAGCAGGUUAAUACCCCGCUGUUCUGACGGUACCCAAAGAAUAAGCACCGGCUAACUUCGUG